CAAGCUGCUGGGAUUACAGAUGUGCACCACCAUGCGCAGCACUUUUUGCUAUUUUUGCCUUUGAUCAGAAUUAGUUAUAAUAUUAUAUUGUCAUAAAGGCUUAAUAGAAAGGUUUCUUGAGUCCCAGCAGAGAAAAGGAUGUAAAGACAGGGAAUAGCUGUGAAAAAAAGAAACUGGUCCCUUAGAGAUUUGAAUUUAAUUUUGUAUAGAAGGCUGCCUCCCUGCCUUGGUGCCUCAGCUUUUCACCCUAUUGCAGCUCUCAGUACCAGGACAUGGUGACAAUUAUUUCACCUGUUGGAGUGUUACAGAUAUGAUUAAACCCAGAACAGGUUCCCAAAGGUAUGGACUCUGUAGAAUUAUUUAGGAUGAUAUUUAAAAACCAAAUGGAUAACUGUAGGUUUGGGGUAUCAAGUGGAUUGCCAUUAUGUCCUAUUCCAGCUUGAUUAUUAGGGUUAUAAAUGAAUAAUCAAUUUCUGCAAAUUAGUUGGAUUUCAGGAUCAAAUUGAAAAAUGUGACAAUUCAGAGAGAUGUAAUUAAGUUUGUCUACUGAAAACCUAAUAGCUCCUAGAUAUUUUACUAUUUAUGAACUAUGGUGAUUUAUUACUUUAAUAUUUGCAUUUCAGAUUAAACUUGAGCAGCAUGGCUACACACAUUAAACAAAAGCAGAUUCAUUAGUUGCCCAUUCUCUUUUUCCCCACUUCUUCUUGGUUAUCUCCUUUUUAAAAAUAAAAUUUAUUAUGUAUUUUUAAGAUGGAAAACAUAAUAUUAUAAGAUGCAUACAGAUAGUUUAAAGGUUGCUAUACUGAACAAAUUAACAUACCCAUCUUCUCACAUAAUUACCCAUCUUUGGAUUUUUAUGGUAAGAACAUUUAAAACCAGCUCAUUUUGCAUGAAUCCCAUUGAGAGUAAAAUUUUAUUAUCUAUAGUCCUCAUGUUGUAGUUUCCCAUUCUUAAUUCAUUCAAUAAGAUAAUGCACAAUUUAUGGAUGAUACAAAGACAAAUUAGGCUGGGUUCUGGCCUUCCAGAAGCCUAGAUCUCAGGGGUAGUGACUUAGAGAAAGGUUUCCUAAGAGGAAAGUAAAACCAUGGUAAUCAGAUCAUUGUUCCCUGAGUCUCAUUAUGAGGAGCUGCUUCAGAAAACAUUCUAAGUCUGAAUUCAAAUCAAAGAGAGCUUUACUUACCUGGCCAGAGACUGUCAUCUACCCAUAGAGACUGAACCUCUGUGGGAGAAUAGCCAUUUCCUGGCCUGUGUGCUGGGAAUUUAAGGAUGAAAACCACAAGCCUUGGGAAGUCCCUAGCAUGCAAGCCAGCCAAUCACAGAUGCUAAAACAGAAGUUAGGGGAACUUAAGAGCCCCUAAGCAGAACUAAAGACCCUCUAAGUCUUUCCAUGUCGCCCAGGCUGGCAUUGAACUUCUGGGCAAUUGUCCUGCCUCAGCCUCCGAAAUAGCUGGAAUUCCAAGUUCAUGCUACCAAGCCUAGUUCAUACUUGGUCUUCAAAGUAAACCAAGCCCAGAUCUUUAACCUCACCUCUAAGACAAGGACUUAUUACAAAGAAUAAAACAGCAUUCAGAACUG